UGCUGCAGCCGCCCCGCAUAAUUCUGCCUCAGGUCGUCCAUCUCACGCUCCCAAACGCGCUGCUUCUCCUCAAACACCUGCGCAAUCGCCACCUCACUCUGGUCCAAGUUUCGCCGCAUAUGGAGCACCUGGGCGGUCCUCCAGGUCUUGGAUGAUGUCGUCACAGGGCGGGGAUGUCUGCAGGGGGAGUGGCCUGUCACCAGGGCGACUGAGGCGCUGGCAGCAGGAGGAGGAGGAGCGCCCACUGUCAGAGGUACGCAAGGGCCCCUACCAAGUGUUGGUCCCCCUGAAUCUACCAGGAUAUCCAUACUGUAUCUUCCUACACCGCUGGGUACACACCAGCCAAUCAGCACCCCAUUCCUCUCUGAAGUUGGAACAAUGAUGGAAUGAUGAUCCAUGGGGCUACCCUAAGACCAAAAACUGAAUUCCACAGGAGGGGUCAAAACUGUCACUGAUGAUCGCUGGGGAAAACUGAAUCAUC